GGUCUGUUUAUCUCCAUUUAGGGAGAAGCAGUUUUGGAAGACUUUUAUGCAGCAGCAAACAGAAAUUGUCCAUGUACAAGGAGACCUGCAAGAAGCAUUUUCCAUGCAGAUGAUGGCUGAUAGAGGAAAUAGCACCAUAUGCCUCAUCUACACCAAGCUUUUCACAGGAAAUUCCAAGCACUAACAAGUUAAAACCUUCUUCUCUUUUUAACUCUUUUUCCUGGUAACUCUUUCCCCCUGCCCCAGGCUAGGAUGUUACAAUACAGGUCUGUGAGGCUGUAUUCUGUGAAUUUGAGGUUAAACUUUUGCCAUCAGCCACAAAUAAAUGACAGACUAGUCCCUUUAAGUGACAGAGGAGGAGCUGUGGGAUGAUAAUACUUACUGAGCCCUAUUUCACCCAAGUUCCCCUUGCCCACCCAAGCCCCCAUCACCCAUCUAAUUGUGAUCAAACAAUACAGACUGUGGAGUAGGAAGAAAAUGUAAUUGGUUACACAAGGAAAGAAACUUUCUGAGGAACUGGAUCACACUGCAUCUGCCAUUAAGCCCACAGUGGGAUUCAAAUCCCUUUCAGAGAGGCUGCCAAAACCCUUGCCAGCUCUCAGCCAGAACCAAGCUGUCAAACACAGACCAGGGCUUUGCAGCAACUCGAGCCUUCCUGCUUGCCAGACCUUGGGGACCAGAAGCAACAGAAAAUGCAGCACUCUUGUGACUGGCUUCCCCGCCACUCCCAGCAAAUUGCUACACUGCUAACGUGGUAACAGAGCUGAAAAAUUCAGGGGAAACAGGAUGAAGUCACCCACUCAUUGCACUGGAAGCAAAGAGAAAUUUGGACUGUGAAUCCCAUCUCGACAGAUCAGGCAACGCAUCUUCAACUGUAUGGAGCACAAGUAAAUAAUGUCUUGCCAACUUUUA